AUUUUUUCGCUGUCGAAUUACUAUUUUGAACACUAGAAUUGAUUUAUUAUUGAUAGAAAUCGAGUGGUUUUUAGGCAUGAAAUUUCAGUCUUCCGUCCAAAUAUAAACGUUGAUAUUUAAAAAAUCUACCACGCAGGAAUCGUCUCUUUAUUUGCUUCAAGAGGAAUUUUAUCUGGUGAAAAGCUUGACACCUACACGAAUUCUGAAAGCUAAUUACGCCCGCAACGGGAAAUAAUGGAAGCCCCUCCGAAAAGCUAUUCACCGCAGCCCGCCGCGGUGUUACGCAGUUUGAAAGCCUGGAUAAAUUAGAAUCGACCAAGAUGUAUCCGUGGCUCGCGUCGCAUUAGCGGCGGCUCCUCUCUUUUCGGGAUGAGCCGCCGACGCCGACGCGUUUUCCCCGUCGAAAGCGUGGACAGGUGUGCGCACCGAUACGGAUUCUUUGAACCCGUCCACCCCGAUGACCUGAUUUACUUUGCGCCGCAUCCACAAUGUUGAUCGAACCGCUCGUUUUUGCUCCCUCUGGCGACCUUCGGGAGGGCUGGAGACUCCGCCGGGAAGGGAUGUAAAGUUGUCACUGUUACUCUCGGACCCAGAUAUAAUGGACUCGUAAAAUUUUUUUUCGACCGCCCGUAGAAACGUUUCUUACGCCUCGCACGAUCCUCCUCAGAAAAGUUCGCGCGGCGAACCGGGUCAGGAAUCCAAGAGAAUCUCGGGCAAAAAGAUAUCAGGAUUCCCGUGGUUUCUGUGCGGACUCUGUUCUGGGAUCGUGAACUGGAAGUGCUGUAAAUUACGCUGCAAGACACCCGGAGAAUUAUUAUAUAUUGGCGCGAGGACAUAUUGGUUCAUAUUUAAACAGCACAUAUUUAUUGUAUUAACGGUACACAAUGUCUGCGCAAAUUAAAUUAUUAAUACGUCUAGUGACAUGUUUUACGGAGUUUGAGUUUAUCCCACAUGUUUUUUAUAACUCUAACCUUUUGAAAAAUAAACCGGGAAAUCUAGAGCAAAUAAAGAAAGGUUUUCGCAGGAUCAACA